rnacentral:rRNA from 1 species
GAUGAACGCUAGCUACAGGCUUAACACAUGCAAGUCGAGGGGAAACGACAUCGAAAGCUUGCUUUUGAUGGGCGUCGACCGGCGCACGGGUGAGUAACGCGUAUCCAACCUGCCCUUCACCACGGAAUAAUCCAGUGAAAAUUGGUCUAAUACCGUAUGAGGUCAUACGAUGGCAUCAGAAUAUGACGAAAGGUUUGGCGGUGAAGGAUGGGGAUGCGUCUGAUUAGCUUGUUGGUGAGGUAACGGCUCACCAAGGCGACGAUCAGUAGGGGUUCUGAGAGGAAGGUCCCCCCACAUUGGAACUGAGACACGGUCCAAACUCCUACGGGAGGCAGCAGUGAGGAAUAUUGGGUCAAUGGACGAGAGUCUGAACCAGCCAAGUAGCGUGCAGGAUGACGGCCCUAUGGGUUGUAAACUGCUUUUAUAAGGGAAUAAAGUUAGUCUCGUGAGACUUUUUGCAUGUACCUUAUGAAUAAGGACCGGCUAAUUCCGUGCCAGCAGCCGGG